rnacentral:lncRNA from 1 species
CAAUUGUUAUCCCUUUUUAAACAAAGGACGUGCACGUAUUGUUUGAGCGUAAACUGUCAAGGUUUAAACGAAUAGAACGCAAUUUCAACGUCUUCCGACUGGCACUUUCUGGUUUCCAAGAGUGGACGGGUAAGAUGAAAACAGCCCGUCUUAAACGUUGCACUCUUGUCGAUGUGUCGUUCUAAAUUUAGAAUCUUCUCAAAGGCUGGUUCCACAAUAGCUAAAAUUAGACUUUUCUGUUGGGCUUUCGGUCGAAAACUUCCCUUCUUGGGGGCGGCAAAUUGCUCGGCUAUGAACAAACACGAGGGUAUAGCCGGGUUCUCCGCGUGUUUUUUUCUCUAUUUUCUUUUUCCAACAUCGUCUGCUAAACGUCUUUCGGAAAUGCAACAGCUGUUUCUGACGUCAGUAGUUUCCCAAUCAGGAAAAACGUUAGGUUAGUUGAAAAGGGAUAGGCAGUCAUUCCUCAUAGCGCGUUGCAUUAAGAAGAAAAAGUACGGGUUUAAUGGGCUGUUGUGGCGCGUUCAAGCGCAUGUCAUGACAGAUGAUACAAUGAAUCACAAACAAGUUGACCACUUUAUAUUCCACGACAACCAAAGAAGACGCGUUCGUCGACAGCUCGAGUUGGAACAAGUGUGUUAUCCAGGUCGAAGAAGAUGGCAUCAAUCCUUUGUAGGUUGUCGUGAUUGCCAGCUUGAUAGAAAGGCGUUGCUGGUGAAGCGGUUGUCUCCAUAGUACUUUUCACGGACGCUCGCGAAUCACAGUCUGAGAUAGUCUAUAGUCAAGCUGCCAAUACUUAUGAACAACUCUCCCUGCCCAACUUCGUCGCCUGCACGUCGGGAUCCCAAUGACGUCACGUGUUACGUGAUAGGCCAAACAAAACAAGCCUUUUUUUAUAAUUGGUCAACAGGAAAGUGAAAUUGUAAAGCAAACGUAGCAAUGAGAAAAAAAAAUGGGAUAAACACGAAGUUGAAUCGUUAAAUAUGACCCAAAUUUUGAAGGUUAGGACAGCAAAUUUCUAACGAGAAAGCACUAACAAUGUUCAUUGCUCGGAGUUCUCUCGGUUUGCUAAGCGUAUAGCAACUUCACUUCCGAAUAACUGCAAACAUAUUUCGAAAAAAGACGCCUGAAAAAAAAGGGGCGUAUUCGAUAAGUAAGAAAACAAUUGAACUUAUUUCUACCCUCUCUCGCUGGACCUUUGCAGACUUUCACUUGAUCUUCCACAGGGACAGCUUAUAGCCCUAAUCCUUGACAUUAUCUUCUCAAUUAUCCAAAUGCUAACUAACUCAGACCCCCGCUGACCCCGACUUGAAUGGUUAAAAUAACUAAGAUUAGGAAUCUCUGAUUUUCUAGCUAGCUAACUCAUCAGUCCCAUCCCAAGGCCAGCCGUUCUACAAAUAGAAACGGCCCAACGCAACGAAGGAUGCGUAAACAAGAACUGGGGCAUCCAAUAGAGUUGAAUGAUUCCGCUUAAUCAUUUGGUUAUUGUGGGUUAUCACUGGGCGUCACUUAUCGAGCUUGCAGACCAAAUCAUUAAACUGCGUCAGAGCCAACGUGAUUGUAACAACAACAACAAGUUAACCAACGAUCAACAAGUGAUGACGUUGGCGGAACUUCAAACCCGGAUAUAGUCUGGUUAAAUGUUGGGUCGGCGUACUACCGCUUCAUCACGUCCACAUUUAAACAAAAGCCUAGGCUAAGCUUACAGUUAAAUUAUCUAUGCCGUUUAAGAUAAUUCACCGUGUUGCGUUCUGUUACGUUUGUGUGCUCUUUUUUUUGUUUUUUUGUUGUUGCUACGUAACAGAAAUCUGUUGCGAAGAUUUCUUUCUUUUCAAAUUUAAUCUUUCUAAUUAAGUUUUAGAUCUACGUUAUUCUUUUUGCCUUUUUAAAAAUGUGUAGCUAAAUUUUUUGUCACGUAACCGGGCCGUCAACAGCGUGAUAUGCAAAUGAUUGUGCCGUUAACGGGCAAACUAAGGGUCGGCUAAGAUAAAAAAGAUUAAAAACA